rnacentral:tRNA from 1 species
GCGGUCGUAGCCAAGUGGUAAGGCAAGGGACUGUGACUCCCUCAUUCGCGGGUUCAAAUCCCGUCGUUCGCC